rnacentral:rRNA from 1 species
UACGUAGGGGGCAAGCGUUGUCCGGAUUUAUUGGGCGUAAAGAGCGUGUAGGCGGCUUCACAGGUCCGCUGUGAAAACUCGAGGCUCAACCUCGAGCUGUCGGUGGAAACCGUGUGGCUAGAGUCCGGAAGAGGAGAGUGGAAUUCCUAGUGUAGCGGUGAAAUGCGUAGAGAUUAGGAAGAACACCAGUGGCGAAGGCGACUUACUGGACUGUAACUGACGCUGAGGCAUGAAAGCGUGGGGAGCAAACAGG